GAUGAACGCUAGCUACAGGCUUAACACAUGCAAGUUGAGGGGAAACGAUAUUGGAAGCUUGCUUCCGAUAGGCGUCGACCGGCGCACGGGUGAGUAACGCGUAUCCAACCUGCCCACCACUUGGGGAUAACCUUGCGAAAGUAAGACUAAUACCCAAUGAUAUCUCUAGAAGACAUCUGAAGGAGAUUAAAGAUUUAUCGGUGAUGGAUGGGGAUGCGUCUGAUUGGCUUGUUGGCGGGGUAACGGCCCACCAAGGCGUCGAUCAGUAGGGGUUCUGAGAGGAAGGUCCCCCACAUUGGAACUGAGACACGGUCCAAACUCCUACGGGAGGCAGCAGUGAGGAAUAUUGGUCAAUGGACGAGAGUCUGAACCAGCCAAGUAGCGUGCAGGAUGACGGCCCUAUGGGUUGUAAACUGCUUUUAUAAGGGAAUAAAGUGAGCCUCGUGAGGCUUUUUGCAUGUACCUUAUGAAUAAGGACCGGCUAAUUCCGUGCCAGCAGCCGCGGUAA
rnacentral:rRNA from 1 species